CUUGACAACACAUUUCAAUAAGUCUCACUUCACAAAGUGUCAGGAUGGAGGAAACAUAUCUACUGUGGCUGCUCUUUCUGAUCUCACUACUGAGCUUCACAACAAACCAAGCCUCUCUGACUGUGAGUCCCAGCAGCUCUCAGCUGUUUAAAGGAGAGUCUUUCUCUCUGAGCUGUGAGGAGGACGACAGCUCUGCUGGAUGGACUCUGAGGAGGAACACGAGUGAUGAAAUCAGGACUCAGUGUGGAGA